rnacentral:rRNA from 1 species
AAGUGGCGCCGGGUGAGUACACGUGAGUACCUGCCUCCGGGACCGGGAGUGGCGGGCGGAAGGCCUGCUAAUACCGGAUAAGACCACAUGGGCUUCGGCCCAAGGGGGUCAAGUCGGCCUCUCAACGAAGCCGGCACCUGGAGAUGGGCUCGCGGACCAUUAGCUUGUUGGUAGGGUAACGGCCUACCAAGGCUGAGAUGGUUAGCUGGUCUGAGAGGAUGAUCAGCCACACUGGAACUGAGAGACGGUCCAGACUCCUACGGGAGGCAGCAGUGAGGAAUAUUGCGCAAUGGGGGAAACCCUGACGCAGCAACGCCGCGUGGGUGAAGAAGGCCCUCGGGUUGUAAAGCCCUGUCAGGUGGGAAGAACCCGCCGCAAGUAAAUAGCUUGCGGAGCUGACGGUACCACCGGAGGAAGCACCGGCUAACUCCGUGCCAGCAGCCGCGGUAAGACGGAGGGUGCGAGCGUUGUUCGGAAUCACUGGGCGUAAAGCGCGUGUAGGCUGCUCAGUAAGUCGGGUGUGAAAGCCCGGGGCUUAACCCCGGAAGUGCAUUCGAUACUGUUGAGCUUGAGUACGGGAAGGGGAAGUGGAAUUCCUGGUGUAGAGGUGAAAUUCGUAGAUAUCAGGAGGAACACCGGUGGCGAAAGCGGAUUCCUGGACCGAUACUGACGCUGAGACGCGAAAGCGUGGGGAGCAA